UACAUGGGGUGCAAACGUUGCUCGGAAUUAUUGGGCGUAAAGCGCGCGUAGGCGGUUACUCAAGUCGGUUGUGAAAGCCCUCGGCUUAACUGAGGAAGUGCACCCGAAACUGAGUAGCUAGAGUACUAAAGAGGGUCGCGGAAUUCCCGGUGUAGAGGUGAAAUUCGUAGAUAUCGGGAGGGACACCGGUGGCGAAGGCGGCGACCUGGGUAGAUACUGACGCUGAGGCGCGAAAGCGUGGGGAGCAAACAGG
rnacentral:rRNA from 1 species